AAUUCAAUAUGUUCCUGUGGGUGCGGCCGAUUCUAAUUCCAACUCAUGAAUUAUAAUCAAAUCAAUUCUUAAUCGAUGCUAUGUAACAAAGUUUGAAUCCUUAAGGUUUGGGUUUUUUCCGGCCUUAAUUCUAAACAUUAAGUAGAAGCCACAGAAUAGUUAGGCGUGUUUUAGUGAGCAGGACAAAUAAGGGCCGCCUGACAGGAUUGCAGGAGUAGAUCUGUGCACCGACGAGUGCUCAAAUUGAUCAAAGAGAAAGAGAAACUCAUGUGUGACUGACUCGAUUUGGUCCAGACUGACACGGCUCAUCAAAUGAUCAUACCACUCGCCUGAACCCAUUCACAGAACGCAAAUUAUAGCCCACUUAAGUAAAUGCAGGAAGAAAAAAAGCGCAGGGAGUUUCCUAGCAGGGAGGCACAAAUUGAGUGAGCCUUCUUUUAAAAUGACAUUUAGCUAAAAUAAACCCAGACGGUACUUAUGUGAAAUCAUGAAUGUACUAUUAUCAUCAUAAUUAAUAUUUCUAUCCUAAAUCUAGAUCCACACAGGCUGGUCAACAUUUCCAUUGCAAGUGUCAUCUGCUACACUGAUUCUAUAUCAUCAGAAGAGAUUAUCACAGGUCUAACCACCAGCCAGCCAGCACAUUUAGCAGAGGAGAAUUUACCAAACAUGGAGCGAGGAGAAAGCAGGUCUACAAGACUCAGGACGACCACAGAAAUACUCCUGAAUUCACUGAAAAGCCAUUAAACAGGGUUGUUUUUGGCAUCAGUGAGCUGCGUCAUUGUAAACAGUGAGUUCAGCAGCUUUGUCCUUGCUGAAGGCGGUGUAUGUGUGUGUGUGUGUGUGUGUGUGUGUGUGUGUGUGUGUGAGAGAGAGAGAGAGAGAGAGAGAGAGAGAGAGAGAGAGCUGAGGGACAGUGGCACAAUCACAAAAAAUUUUCUCCACAGAUUAUAGGUAAACAUAAUCACUAAAUAUUCAUGUUUGGGUUGUUCAACCUGCAGGGCCAAGCCAGUAGAUUCUUCAUUUUCACUUUCUAUCUGGACAACUGCUCUGAGUUUACUUCACUGUUGUCCCUAAAAUACCUGUUUAUGUGUUCUACUUAGAGAAGUUCAGCUGCCACAGACCACCACGAUCACAUCGACAAAAUAUCUCUCACAAUUUUAACUGUCAUCUUCACUUUAACAUUAAUCUUAAAUGAUCGAUAUACAAACCCGAUUCCAAAAAAGUUGGGACACUGUACAAAUUGUGAGUGGGGAAGUUGUGGCCUAAUGGUCAGAGUGUUGGACUUGCAACCCACGGGUUGUGAGUUCGAGUCUCGGGCUGGCAGGA
rnacentral:lncRNA from 1 species